CAGAUCUCUCUCCUCUCUGAAGUCUCUGAAGGGCUUCAGUCAGGACUCAGGGGAAAGAUUAGCUUAUCAACUCUCCACAGUGCAGUUCCUGCCUAAUCGAUAGCUUGCCAUCAUGCCUGGACAUGCCUAGACAGAGCAAGGACUUUGGAUAACCUGUUGACCCAGCUAAAAUCCAAAGCCAAACAAAACUAAAGCACUGACACCUGACAAGAUCUGACCAUAAAGUCAGAGGGACUGCAGAAGGAGGAGGGUGAGUCGCUCUCAGUGUUCCUCUUGUGUGCUAAUAAGUAAUGGUCUCCAGUUAAUGCUGCUUUUCUUUUUAUAUGUUGUGGGAGGUACAGUAAGCAUGGAGAUAGUGAAAAUGUGGUUAUCGUAAUGAUAUCCCCACGAGAAGCCUAAGGGUUUCUUCCGAGUUCUCCCAUUUCUUCCCAUCUCCCAGAAAUAUGCAUGUGCAUUAAUUGGCUACAGUAAACAGUUUAUAGGUGUGGAUAUGUGUGGAUGUGGCAUCCCAUCCUGGGUGUUUCCUGAAGAUGAAUGAAUGAAUCCAGUGAGCAAUCCAAAAUUAUCUUCAUGGAAAGAAGAAACAAUUUUAGCCUUGCAUCAUGGAUCUUUUCUUGGAGGCAAAGUAUCUUCGAUCCAGCCAGACUGAACCUGUAUUGGAACUUCAGGCGACAUUAUUGAAUAGAAAUCAAGACACAACAGUCCCUAGAGUUUACACAGGAUGGUGCAGAAAAAUACUUCAGUGAGCGGCAGUUCUGCGGGGUGGAAACACCUUGUUGAUGAGAGAGGUCAGAGCAGAAUGCCCAGACUGGUUCGAGCUGUCAGGAAGGCUACGGUAACUUUAAUAACCACUCUUUACAAACCUGGGUCACAGGGAACCUGGAGCCUAUCUCAGGGAGCAUCGGGCACAAGGUGGGGUACACCCUGGACAGGGUGCCAAUCCAUCGCAGGGCGCAAUCACAUACACACUCACACACCCAUUCUUACACUACAGACAUGCCAAUCAGCCUACCAUGCAUGUCUUUGGACUGGGGGAGGAAACCAGAGUACCCGGAGGAAACCCCCGCAGCACGGGGAGAACAUGCAAACUCUGCACACACAGAGGGCCACGGUGGGAAUCGAACCCCCAACCCUGGAGGUGUGAGGCAAACGUGCUAACCAGUGCUAACCACUAAGCCACCGUGCGCCCCAAUAACUAAUUCUUUGUUUUAAAAAUAUUUGAAAAGAUAUUAAGUUUGGGUUUUUGCAAAGAUAUUUAAGGGCAUGUGUUGAUUUGCUUUUAAAGCACAGCUAACAAACGAUCAACACACUUUAGACCUUCAGACACCUUCAUGUGCUAGAGUCCUGGAGACAAAUAAUAGGUGAAGAACAAGGAGGAUGAUAUGUAAGGCUGUGUCAUAUCACAGCAAACCAGUGACUACAUUUCCCAUCAUGCACUGUGGCCUACAAACAUGGCCGCCAUGGACUGCAAUUCCCAGGACACUCAUUCAUUCUAAUCACACACACCUGCAUCCAAUCUCAUACACACACCACAGUUUAAAAGGACUUUAGAGGCAAGUAUUGAGUUUUACCUCUUUGCCAAGUAUUGAGUGUUAUCACCAUACCAAGGGUUUGUACCCCGUUCCUCGUUUUGAUUCAUGUUCUUUGAUCUUGUUUCUGGUUUCUCAUUCUCGAUUCUUGCCUUGCCUAGUUUAUGCCUGCUUGCUGAUCGCCUGACCCAUUGCCUGUUUUUGACCAUGCUAUUGUCUCAUUAUUUGGAUUUGUCUGCCUGCCUCUCUUCAUUAAAAGCUCUUAUCUG